UGGAUACAUUAUCAUUGAUAAUGGAAGUUUAUAAAACGUUUCUUUCAAGUUAAGUAGUUUAAAAAAUCUACACAUAUUCCGCACAAGGCGGGUAGAGGAGUAGAACACGGUUAUUAGUUUCACGGAGCACAAAAGCCUUUCCCAGUCGUGAAACCAGGUCGGGACUUUCGUCUAGACAAUCUGCUCUACCUAUUCCGUGAGGAAACAGCAGAACAAAUGCCUAAAAGGUUUGGAGUGGUAAUGAUCCUUCCGCAGGUUCACCUACGGAAA
rnacentral:misc_RNA from 1 species